UGUCAUAGGACAUUGACUGAUCUGUUCUCAUCCACAUCCAGUUGGCAUUAUUAUGCUGUUUUUUUGCAGAAUGCUCAGUUUUCAUUGUUGCUAAUCUUAAAUUUUCAAAUAGGUGCUAAUUGGAGACGAGCCAGAGAAAGGGAUGGAGAACCUAAUGGAGGUAAAUAUCCCUGAAGACGUGCAAGAAAAACUAAUGGGGGCGGAUGCCAAGGAGCAGCAGGAGCUGGAGAAAGAACAAGAGGAGAGGAGGCAGAAGGAAGGGAAAAAACAAGUUCCAGAAGGGAUGGAGAGAUAGACGAUAAAGUAAUGGACUGAUAAAAAAAAAAGAAGAAAGAGAAAAAGAAUAAAAACAGUCCUAAUGAGGACUGUUUCAUCAUUCUGAUGGACGAGUCCUGAUAUCUUCACAUGAUGUUCACAUGAGCUUUUGUUUUUGAGGAUCAAGAUAUAGAUAAAGUCAAAAUGUGCCCUAUAUUUAGUGUUGUGCAUUUCUGGGUCCACUGUAGAGGCUGGGAACAUGUACACAGUAAUCAAAAAUAAAUACUGUAAAACUGUGAAA